UGUAGUUACUACUUGGUAGUUUAAAUUUCUAGGUAGAAUUAUGAUGAUGACAUUAUCUAUCUAUAAGUCUUGACCAAAUUACGUGCCAGCAGUCGCGGUAAUACGUAAAAGACGAGUGUUAUUCAUCUUUAUUGGGUUUAAAGAGUACCAAGACGGUUAAUAAAGCCCAGAAAUACAUGAGCACAGGGGACACAUUAACUAGAGUUAUAUGAAAGGAAGCAUUAAAGUACUGUUGAGUGUAGAGAUAAAAUUCAGUAAUACCAUCUAAGGCACAGAUUUAUGCGAAGGCAUCUUCUUAUGUAAUAACUGACGUUGUAGGACGAAGGCUUUUGGAGUGAAGAGGAUUAGAUACCCUUGUAAUCUAAGCAGAAAAUGAUGAAUGUCAUAGGUUUAGUAUAUACACCAAAAAAAAAAAUGGUCAAUAUAUUAUUGGGUCUAUAAAUGAAAGUGUAAGCAUUCCACCUCAAGAGUAAUUUGGCAACAUUGGAACUGAAAUCAUUAGACCGUUUCUGAAACCAGUAGUGAAGUAUGUUGUUUAAUUAGAUGAUACACAAAGAACCUUACCACAAUUUGAAUAUAUAUCAUUAAUGAUAUUUACAAGCGUUGCACGGCUGUCUACAGUUAAUGUCGUGAGGCUUUGGUUAGUUCCAAAAAAUUAACGUAAACCCUCAUUUUAUUUAUAAAUAAAAUU
rnacentral:rRNA from 1 species